UUUCUCUGGAGACACCCGUUAGAUCGGGGGCCGAAGGUGCAAAUAACAUGGACUAUCAUAUAACCGCCGACAAAUGGUUAUCUGACCCGUGUCUUGAAUCUCUCAGGCAAAAGGACAGAGGA
rnacentral:ncRNA from 1 species